ACGGACAUCAGUAAAUUGGCUUAUUCUGGCGAAUGGGCUGCAAGUGACUCAUCCCAUCCCACCACGCCUGUUUCCCAUCACAAGCGAAGAGGAGGAUGAGGUGCUAAUUCAUGCGAUGGAAGUUUGUGACCACCAAUGUUUUAUGACCAGGUCAACCUCAUAUUGGAUUAAUAAAUACACACAGGCAUAUUCUUUACCAGGGCCGGAGGAAACAUUUUCUGUUAUACCAAGAAGCAAUGAGCCAGAUCACAUGGAGGAAAGGGUAAAGAAGGCUGUUGGGUAUAUAUUUCAUUGCAGUGGCAAUCGGCGUAUUGCAAAUGAUGUGGGAACGAGAGUCCGCACCACCUGAGGACCAUACUCUGCUGGGAAGCGUGUGGGAUCAGCAUAAGUUGUACCACCUACAAGACGCACUGCAGCAACUUACCAAGACUUCUCCGACAGCACCUUCCAAACCCGUGAACUCUACCACCUAGAAGGGCAAGGGCAGCUGACAUAUGGGAACACCUCCACCUGGGAGCUCCCCUCCAAGACACACACCAUUGUAUUCCAUUACAUGAAUUUAUAUUUGUGGGGAAGAGAUGAGACUUGGAACUAUAUCACCACGUUAUAAGAGCAUAAUAAUUUUCAUAAUAUUAUUCUGGUUUAUUGUAAAGUAGGUUUAUGGGUGUGAGUGUAGAUGGUUCUGUCAGUGUGAUUUAAUUACACUGGAGUCAGGUAGGCUGCAAGCUUGAAAUUAUCAAAAGAAGCUAGGUGUAGAAAUGUACUUGAAAUGCUAAUGGAUAUACAUGGAUUGGGUUUUAGCAUGUAAGGUGUGAAGGAAAUUGGCAUUUAUAGGUAAGGGAAGGAGUUGGUUGUAUUUUGAAGGGAUGUUAGAAUGUUUACAACUAGCCAGAUAACCAAGGCUGAGCAGUGGGUUUAUUUUACCAAAGGUUACUGACAAUAUUGGCAACAUGAAAGUUUCUAUAUUAUGGGAAAGGUACAUUUCCAAAGACAUAUGGAACAAUGGAAUUUACAGAUUAAAUAGAGAGAAACAUAUAUAAAGGGGAAUG